UACAGAGGUCUCAAGCGUUGUUCGGAUUCAUUGGGCGUAAAGGGUGCGUAGGCGGCGCGGUAAGUCGGGUGUGAAAUCUCGGAGCUUAACUCCGAAACUGCAUUCGAUACUGCGGUGCUUGAGGACUGGAGAGGAGACUGGAAUUCCUGGUGUAGCAGUGAAAUGCGUAGAUAUCAGGAGGAAUACCGAUGGCGAAGGCAGGUCUCUGGGCUGACACUGACGCUCAUGCACGAAAGCGUGGGGAGCAAACAGG
rnacentral:rRNA from 1 species